rnacentral:rRNA from 1 species
GACGAACGCUGGCGGCGUGCUUAACACAUGCAAGUCGAACGGAAAGGCCCUGCUUUUGUGGGGUGCUCGAGUGGCGAAAGGGUUAGUAACACGUGAGUAACCUGCCCUUGACUUUGGGAUAACUUCAGGAAACUGGGGCUCAUACCGGGUAGGAGCUCCUGCUGCAUGGUGGGGGUUGGACAGUUUCGGCGGUUGGGGAUGGACUCGCGGCUUAUCAGCUUGUUGGUGGGGUAGUGGCUUACCAAGGCUUUGACGGGUAGCCGGCCUGAGAGGGUGACCGGCCACAUUGGGACUGAGAUACGGCCCAGACUCCUACGGGAGGCAGCAGUGGGGAAUAUUGCACAAUGGGCGGAAGCCUGAUGCAGCAACGCCGCGUGCGGGAUGACGGCCUUCGGGUUGUAAACCGCUUUCGCCUGUGACGAAGCGUGAGUGACGGUAAUGGGUAAAGAAGCACCGGCUAACUACGUG